rnacentral:tRNA from 1 species
GCUGGGGGUGUAGCCCAGUGGUAGAGCACUUGCCUAGCAUGUGGGAGGCCCUGGGUUCGACCCCCAGCACAGCA